AGAGCGAACGCUGGCGGCAGGCUUAACACAUGCAAGUCGAACGCGUGUAGCAAUACACGAGUGGCGCACGGGUGAGUAACGCGUGGGCAUCUGCCUCAUGGUUCGGAAUAACCCCGGGAAACUGGGGCUAAUACCGGAUGGUACCUUCGGGUUAAAGAUUUAUCGCCAUGAGAUGAGCCCGCGUCCGAUUAGCUAGUUGGUGAGGUAACGGCUCACCAAGGCGACGAUCGGUAGCUGGUCUGAGAGGACGAUCAGCCACACUGGGACUGAGACACGGCCCAGACUCCUACGGGAGGCAGCAGUGGGGAAUAUUGGACAAUGGGGGCAACCCUGAUCCAGCCAUGCCGCGUGAGUGAUGAAGGCCUUCGGUUGUAAAGCUCUUUGUGCGGAAGAUAAUGACGGUACCGCAAGAAUAAGCCCGGCUAACUUCGCGCCAGCAGCCGC
rnacentral:rRNA from 1 species